GACGAACGCUGGCGGCGUGCUUAACACAUGCAAGUCGAACGGAAAGGCCCUGCUUUUGUGGGGUGCUCGAGUGGCGAACGGGUGAGUAACACGUGAGUAACCUGCCCUUGACUUUGGGAUAACUUCAGGAAACUGGGGCUAAUACCGGAUAGGAGCUCCUGCUGCAUGGUGGGGGUUGGAAAGUUUCGGCGGUUGGGGAUGGACUCGCGGCUUAUCAGCUUGUUGGUGGGGUAGUGGCUUACCAAGGCUUUGACGGGUAGCCGGCCUGAGAGGGUGACCGGCCACAGUGGGACUGAGAUACGGCCCAGACUCCUACGGGAGGCAGCAGUGGGGAAUAGUGCACAAUGGGCGGAAGCCUGAUGCAGCAACGCCGCGUGCGGGAUGACGGCCUUCGGGUUGUAAACCGCUUUCGCCUGUGACGAAGCGUGAGUGACGGUAAUGGGUAGAGAAGCACCGGCUAACUACGUG
rnacentral:rRNA from 1 species